rnacentral:rRNA from 1 species
ACUGAGACAAGGCCCAGUCCUACGGGCGCAGCAGUCGCGAACUUUGCAUACACGAAAGUGUGACAGGUCAUCCCGAGUGCCGACGGUGAGGUUGGUUUUACCCAGUUUAGGACGCUGGGGAAUAAGGAGAGGGCAAGUCUGGUGUCAGCCGUCGCGGUAAUACCAGCUCUCCGAGUGGUGUGGACGUUUAUUGGGCCUAAAGCAUCCGUAGCUGGCUGAACAAGUCCCCUGUUAAACUCAUCGAUUUAAUCGUUGGUCUGCGGGGGAUACUGCUCGGCUAGGGGACGAGAGAGGCAGACGGUAUUCCCGGGGUAGGGGUGAAAUCCUAUAAUCCCGAGAAGACCAUUAGUGGCGAAGGCUGUCUGCUAGAACGCGC